GAUGAACGCUGGCGGCGUGCCUAAUACAUGCAAGUCGAGCGAACAGACGAGGAGCUUGCUCCUCUGACGUUAGCGGCGGACGGGUGAGUAACACGUGGAUAACCUACCUAUAAGACUGGGAUAACUUCGGGAAACCGGAGCUAAUACCGGAUAAUAUAUUGAACCGCAUGGUUCAAUAGUGAAAGACGGUUUUGCUGUCACUUAUAGCUGGAUCCGCGCCGCAUUAGCUAGUUGGUAAGGUAACGGCUUACCAAGGCAACGAUGCGUAGCCGACCUGAGAGGGGGAGCGGACACAAUGGAACAGAGACACGGUCCAGACUCCUACGGGAGGCAGCAGUAGGGAAUCUUCCGCAAUGGGCGAAAGCCGGACGGAGCAACGCCGCGUGAGUGAUGAAGGUCUUCGGAUCGUAAAACUCUGUUAUUAGGGAAGAACAAAUGUGUAAGUAACUAUGCACGUCUUGACGGUACCUAAUCAGAAAGCCACGGCUAACUACGUG
rnacentral:rRNA from 1 species